GAUGAACGCUGGCGGCGUGCCUAAUACAUGCAAGUCGAACGGUGAAGCGCCUUCCUUUCUGCUGUGAGUUUAGGAGUGGCCAACGGGGGAGUAACACGUGAGCAACCUUCUCCCACCUUCUGGACAACCGCAUGAAGGAGCUGCUAAUACGGGAUAUUUUGGGCCGGUCGCUUCAUGGGUCUGGGAAAGAUUUUCUUUCGGUUGUGGAUGGGCCCGCGGCGCAUUAGCUAGUUGGUAAGGUGACGGCGUACCAAGGCGACGAUGCAUAGCCGGCCUGAGAGGGUGGUCGGCCACAACGCAACUGAUACAACGCGCAGACGCCUCCGGCAGGAAGCAGCAGUGAAGAAUCUUGCACGAGCGAAAGACGGACGGUGCAGCGACGCGGGGGGGAGGAUGGUCUCCGUAGGGUAGAAAACCGCUUUCGCGAGUGAAGAAGUGCUGCCGUGAUUGUGCGUGGCUUGACGGUAGCUAGAUAGAAAGCGACGGCUAACUACGUG
rnacentral:rRNA from 1 species